GCAAAGAUAACACAAAUGUUGCAAACUUGCAAUGCAAAAAGGGAUGUGGUUAGAAUUCAAGAUAAAAUAGACAAUAAUCACAUUUUCCAAGAAAGCAAACUGCUGUAUAAAAGGAUCCACUUGACACACCCAAGAAUACAAGUCAGUUAAGUUGCUGGCAUCAUGCAUGGUCUGCACAAACUUCUGCUCUUUCAUGUUCUGACAUGUCUUGGACAAAACUAUGCUGUAUAUGGCCUCUCUGCAGAACAUUGAUCAUAGUCAUGUCUGUGGGGGAUUCCUCAUCAGUGAAGACUUUGUAGUCUCUGCUGCACACUGUGACUGCUGGUGUUGUUCUUGGCUCCCACAAUCUCAAGGCUGAAAAUACAGUGAGAUCUAUUGAAAAGAAGUGCAAACCCCCAUCUUAUGAAAAUGUUUCAAAAGGGAAUAACAUCAUGCUCCUCAAAAUGACACAAGCUUACAUUAAGCUGGAAAAGUGUCAGAAGGCAUGGCAUAAUAGCCUUCCUGCCAGUGUUAUCUUUGCAGGUGGAUAUGGAACAAAGAAAAUAUUCUGUCUGUAUGUUUUCUGUACUUCGAUAGAAAAUGCCAGCUGGUUUGUGGUUUAAAAAAAGUAGAAACAUCUUGUGUAAUGAAGCUUCCUCCUCCUCACACUCUGGUGGCCCUCUGUGCAACGGGAAGUUUGCAGUUGGUGUUGUUUCCUUUAACAGCAAACAUAACUGUGAUUAUCCAGAUGUACCCAACAUCUAUACAGACAUAUCAAAAUUUCUUCCCUGGAUGAAAGAGAUUUUCCAGAAAACAAACUGCAUGUAACAGUGUGACAAAUUGUUUUUGGAUAAACAUUUAAUGGAUCUA